UCAAGAUGAGCGCUUUAGAUGACGAGUCCGAGCUGGUCGGGUGUUGUGUUAUACAGCAUCCAUACCACAACGACGAUAAACAUCAAACUUUAUACCAUUCAUGCAUUUCUGAUU
rfam:Moniliophthora roreri MCA 2997 sctg_0003_0004, whole genome shotgun sequence.